rnacentral:rRNA from 2 species
CGUAGGUGACCUGCGGAAGGAUCAUUGUCAA